GGACAGCCCACCAGGGUCUGCUUCUGUGAGGGGCCGAGGCGUCAUUCCGCGAAGCCUUCUCCUUGCUGUUGCCAUGUGAAGAAGGAUGUGUUUGCUUCCCCUUCUGCCAUGAUUGUAAGUUUUCUGAAGCCUCUCCAGCCAUGCCAAACUGCUGAACUGUGGCUCCACCAAAUUCAUAAUUUGAAGUCCCAACCCCUAGUAUCUCAGGAUGUAACUGUAUUUAAAGAUAAGGUGUGUAUAGAGGUGGUUAUGCUAAAGUAAAGCUGCUAGGAUGGGGGCUCUAAUCCCGUAUGAAUAGUGUCCUUAUAAAAAGCCAUCAGGGGCCUGUCCGCACAGGGAAACACCAUGUGAGGAUACAGAAAACAACCAUCUGCAAGAAAGGAGAGAGAUCUUAGAAGAAAACAGACCUGCCAGCACUGUAAUCUUCAACUG
rnacentral:lncRNA from 10 species